CUACGUGCCAGCAGCCGCGGUAAUACGUAGGUGGCAAGCGUUGUCCGGAAUUAUUGGGCGUAAAGCGCGCGCAGGCGGAUUGGUCAGUCUGUCUUAAAAGUUCGGGGCUUAACCCCGUGAUGGGAUGGAAACUACCAAUCUAGAGUAUCGGAGAGGAAAGUGGAAUUCCUAGUGUAGCGGUGAAAUGCGUAGAUAUUAGGAAGAACACCAGUGGCGAAGGCGACUUUCUGGACGAAAACUGACGCUGAGGCGCGAAAGCCAGGGGAGCGAACGGGAUUAGAUACCCCGGUAGUCCUGGCCGUAAACGAUGGGUACUAGGUGUAGGAGGUAUCGACCCCUUCUGUGCCGGAGUUAACGCAAUAAGUACCCCGCCUGGGGAGUACGACCGCAAGGUUGAAACUCAAAGGAAUUGACGGGGGCCCGCACAAGCGGUGGAGUAUGUGGUUUAAUUCGACGCAACGCGAAGAACCUUACCAGGUCUUGACAU
rnacentral:rRNA from 1 species